UACGUAGGGUGCAAGCGUUGUCCGGAAUUAUUGGGCGUAAAGAGCUCGUAGGCGGUCUGUCGCGUCGGCUGUGAAAACCCGGGGCUCAACCCCGGGCCUGCAGUCGAUACGGGCAGACUAGAGUGCGGUAGGGGAGACUGGAAUUCCUGGUGUAGCGGUGAAAUGCGCAGAUAUCAGGAGGAACACCGGUGGCGAAGGCGGUGGUCUGGGCCGGAACUGACGCUGAGGAGCGAAAGCGUGGGGAGCGAACAGG
rnacentral:rRNA from 1 species